GAUGAACGCUGGCGGCGUGCCUAAUACAUGCAAGUCGAGCGAACGGACGAGAAGCUUGCUUCUCUGAUGUUAGCGGCGGACGGGUGAGUAACACGUGGAUAACCUACCUAUAAGACUGGGAUAACUUCGGGAAACCGGAGCUAAUACCGGAUAAUAUUUUGAACCGCAUGGUUCAAAAGUGAAAGACGGUCUUGCUGUCACUUAUAGAUGGAUCCGCGCUGCAUUAGCUAGUUGGUAAGGUAACGGCUUACCAAGGCAACGAUGCAUAGCCGACCUGAGAGGGUGAUCGGCCACACUGGAACUGAGACACGGUCCAGACUCCUACGGGAGGCAGCAGUAGGGAAUCUUCCGCAAUGGGCGAAAGCCUGACGGAGCAACGCCGCGUGAGUGAUGAAGGUCUUCGGAUCGUAAAACUCUGUUAUUAGGGAAGAACAUAUGUGUAAGUAACUGUGCACAUCUUGACAGUACCUAAUCAGAAAGCCACGGCUAACUACGU
rnacentral:rRNA from 1 species